GGCCGCCUGGCGAAAUGGCAUCGCGUCUGACUACGACUUGACAAAGCUCAUCACUGUAAUCAGGAGAUUGCAGGUUCGACCCCUGCGGUGGUCA